UACGUAGGGGGCAAGCGUUGUCCGGAAUCAUUGGGCGUAAAGCGCGUGUAGGCGGCCCGGUAAGUCCGCUGUAAAAGUCCAGGGCUCAACCCUGGAAAGCCGGUGGAUACUGUCGGGCUCGAGUCCGGAAGAGGCGAGUGGAAUUCCUGGUGUAGCGGUGAAAUGCGCAGAUAUCAGGAGGAACACCGAUGGCGAAGGCAGCUCGCUGGGACGGUACUGACGCUGAGACGCGAAAGCGUGGGGAGCAAACGGG
rnacentral:rRNA from 1 species